rnacentral:miRNA from 1 species
AUAUCACCCAUACAUCCAGAUA